UACGUAGGACGCAAGCGUUGUCCGGAAUUAUUGGGCGUAAAGAGCUCGUAGGCGGUCUGUCGCGUCGGCUGUGAAAACCUGGGGCUCAACUCCAGGCCUGCAGUCGAUACGGGCAGACUAGAGUUCGGUAGGGGAGACUGGAAUUCCUGGUGUAGCGGUGAAAUGCGCAGAUAUCAGGAGGAACACCGGUGGCGAAGGCGGGUCUCUGGGCCGAAACUGACGCUGAGGAGCGAAAGCGUGGGGAGCGAACAGG
rnacentral:rRNA from 1 species